AUUGAACGCUGGCGGCAGGCCUAACACAUGCAAGUCGAACGGAUGAACAGUACUUGCUUGUUGUUUCAGCGGCCGACGGGUGGGUGAUGCCUAGAAAUCUCCCUGUCUAUUUUUUCUUAGGUCCUAACACAGGGGAUCUUACCCCAUUACUCCAUACGACGUACGUGUGGGAUCUUUGGAUCUUCCGACCUUACGUGAUUGUAUGUGGCGAUGUCGGAUUAGAUAGUUGGCGGGGUAAAGGCCCACCAAGCCGACGAUCCGUAGCUGGUCUGAGAGGAUGAUCAGUCACACUGGAACUGAGACACGGUCAAGACUCCUACGGGAGGCAGCAGUGGGGAAUAUUGGACAAUGGGCGAAAGCCUGAUCCAGCCAUACCGCGUGUGUGAAGAAGGUCUUCGGAUUGUAAAGCACUUUUGGUGGGGAGGAAGGGCAGUAAGUUAAUACCUUGCUGUUUUGACGUUACCAAAAGAAUAAGCACCGGCUAACUUCGUG
rnacentral:rRNA from 1 species